rnacentral:rRNA from 1 species
UGGGGAAUCUUGCACAAUGGGGGCAACCCUGAUGCAGCGACGCCGCGUGAGCGAUGAAGCCCUUCGGGGCGUAAAGCUCUUUCGACCGGAACGAUAAUGACGGUACCGGGAGAAGAAGCUGCGGCUAACUUCGUGCCAGCAGCCGCGGUAAUACGAAGGGUGCAAGCGUUACUCGGAAUUACUGGGCGUAAAGCGUGCGUAGGUGGUUGUUUAAGUCUGAUGUGAAAGCCCUGGGCUCAACCUGGGAAUGGCAUUGGAAACUGGGCAGCUAGAGUGCGGUAGAGGGUAGUGGAAUUCCCGGUGUAGCAGUGAAAUGCGUAGAGAUCGGGAGGAACAUCUGUGGCGAAGGCGACUGCCUGGACCAGCACUGACACUGAGGCACGAAAGCGUGGGGAGCAAACA